GUCGACGAUGAAGCUGGAGCUUGCUCCGGUGGAUUAGUGGCGAACGGGUGAGUAACACGUGAGCAAUCUGCCCUUGACUCUGGGAUAACUGCGGGAAACUGUAGCUAAUACCGGAUACGACACCUUGGGGCAUCCCAGGGUGUGGAAAGAAUUUCGGUCAAGGAUGAGCUCGCGGCCUAUCAGCUAGUUGGUGAGGUAAUGGCUCACCAAGGCGACGACGGGUAGCCGGCCUGAGAGGGUGACCGGCCACACUGGAACUGAGACACGGUCCAGACUCCUACGGGAGGCAGCAGUGGGGAAUAUUGGACAAUGGGCGCAAGCCUGAUCCAGCCAUGCCGCGUGAGUGAAGAAGGCCUUACGGUUGUAAAGCUCUUUUACCCGGGAAGAUAAUGA
rnacentral:rRNA from 1 species